AUGGGGAACUGCUGCUGGACGCAGUGCUUCGGGCUGCUCCGCAAGGAAGCGGGGUGGCUGCAGCGAGUAGGAGGCGGCGGAGGAUCCAAGUAUUUUAGAACAUGCUCAAGAGGUGAGCAUCUAACUAUAGAGUUUGAGAAUCUAGUAGAAAGUGAUGAAGGAGAAAGCCCGGGAAGCAGUCAUAGGCCUCUUACUGAGGAAGAAAUUGUUGACCUAAGAGAGAGACGUUAUGAUUCUAUUGCUAGGAAACAGAAAGAUCUUGAUAUGAAAAUCCAAAAGGAGUUAACCUUACAAGAAGAGAAGUUAAGAAGCUUUAUACGCUGCACAGCGUGAAGCAGCCAGGGCAGCAAAGCAGUGAAGGUGCUUGAAGCAAGAAAAGCAGAGGGUUUUACAGCGAUAUCAACUUUCCAACAGUGGAGAAUAUCAAAGUUCAGGACCAGAAGAUGACUUUGAAUCUUGUUUGAGGAAUAUAAAGUCACAAUAUAAAGUUUUUCGAAGUAGUAGACUCUCAUCUGAUGCCACAGUUUUGACGCCAAAUACUGAAAGCAGUUGUGAUUUAAUGACCAAAACAAAGUCAACUAGUGGGAAUAAUGACAGCACCUCCUUGGAUCUGGAGUGGGAAGAUGAAGAAGGAAUGAAUAGAAUGCUUCCAAUGAGAGAACGUUCCAAAACAGAGGAAGACAUUCUCCGAGCUGCUCUUAGAUAUAGCGGCAAGAAGACUGGAAGUAAUCCUACAUCAGCCUCUGAUGAUUCCAACGGGCUAGAAUGGGAGAAUGAUUUUGUCAGUGCUGAAAUGGAUGAUAAUGGUAAUUCUGAAUAUUCUGGAUUUGUAAAUCCUGUAUUAGAACUCUCUGAUUCUGCCAUAAAGCAAUCUGAUACAGAUCAACAGAAUCGGUAGGAAAAAUUUGAGGACCAUGUUUAUCAUUUAUGACCAAAUGUUAAAGUCCAACUAGAAUGUAUAAAUGGUUAUGCUGAGCCUUUUUGUGAAGGGGAUGCAAGAAACCAUGUUGUAAAUGCUUAUUAGAAUGGAAUAGGAAUAAUAGGAUAUAUCUGAAUUGCUUCAGAAUUAAGUGCAAUUUCAUCGCCUGCCUUCUGCUUUU